UGAAAAGUUAAUUUGGGAGGUAUUAACCAGAAAAGAAAGUCUAGAAAUAUAUGUUAUAUAAUCAGCUUACAAAUUAAACUAAAAUGUAUAUUAUAUUGAAAAGAAAAUAUAAAGAGUUAAAUGUCAUUUUAGUCCCUGUGGUUUGGGUCAUCUUGUCAGUGAAACCUUUUUGGACCCACAUGCAAAAAUAAAACAUUUGGACUAAACUGUCAAAAUGGCACAAACCACGGGAACUAAAAUGACAUUUAACUCAAAUCUAAAAAAAGAUGAGAACUUCAAAUACUAAUUGUUAAAUAUUCUAUUAAAAAGAGUAGGUAAUUUCUUUUAAUGUAAUCCAAAAAACUGUAAGUUACUAUUUGGAUUGUUUGAAAGUUCAUAAAAUAAGCUGUUACAAUUCAACAUGACACAUUUGUUUUGCUUUAAAUCCAAGCAAAACUAUCUCGAUCAAGUUUCUUAAUAAGUAGAAAUUAAGACAUUAUUAUGUAUAUAAUCCAGCAUUUCUAGGUUAAUAACCUCGUUGCUUCUAAGCAUAUCCCAUAGAUGAAAACAUGGGUGAAUAUGAGUGGGUUGGAUAACGAGUCAAAAUGGUUAGAUUGACGACCCAUUCAUUGCCUCAAGCCAUCUUAGGUGCUUGUAUUUAUGUUUAACUAAAUUCGCUUGUUUGCUUCAAGUCAUCUCACGCCCCGCUUGCGGUAUGCUCGUAUAAUGUAUAUUUGUGUGGGCGCUCCGGGGCAAUAGUGAAAGUGUACUAAUUUUAACGUUAUUUUACUAAUUUCGUGAAAAUAACGUUAAAAGAGGGGGAUGGUUAAUCAUGUAUCAUGUGGUGGCAUUGAUAGCCGAAAGACAAGAGGGUACAUGCAAAAUUUCAUUGUACAGAUUUUAACACAACUUUUGAAAUUGAGUUGUUAACCAUCUCAAAGUGAUGAGACUUCUUGUUGUAUGACACAACAACCACAAGUUUGUGAGUUCUUUUUAAUGGAGAUCAAACACAAUUAAUGUAUUGGAGAGAAAUUUGAUGAAGGAUAUACUCAAAUGAAAUUUGUCUUAAAAUUAUAUUUAUAGUGAAUUUCUUGU
rnacentral:lncRNA from 1 species